GUGCCAGCCGCCGCGGUAAUACGUAGGUGGCAAGCGUUGUCCGGAUUUAUUGGGCGUAAAGCGAGCGCAGGCGGUUUCUUAAGUCUGAUGUGAAAGCCUUCGGCUCAACCGAAGAAGUGCAUCGGAAACUGGGAAACUUGAGUGCAGAAGAGGACAGUGGAACUCCAUGUGUAGCGGUGAAAUGCGUAGAUAUAUGGAAGAACACCAGUGGCGAAGGCGGCUGUCUGGUCUGUAACUGACGCUGAGGCUCGAAAGCAUGGGUAGCAAACAGGAUUAGAUACCCUGGUAGUCCAUGCCGUAAACGAUGAGUGCUAGGUGUUGGAGGGUUUCCGCCCUUCAGUGCCGCAGCUAACGCAUUAAGCACUCCGCCUGGGGAGUACGACCGCAAGGUUGAAACUCAAAGGAAUUGACGGGGGCCCGCACAAGCGGUGAAGCAUGUGGUUUAAUUCGAAGCAACGCGAAGAACCUUACCAGGUCUUGACAUCCUUUGACCACUCUAGAGAUAGAGCUUUCCCUUCGGGGACAAAGUGACAGGUGGUGCAUGGUUGUCGUCAGCUCGUGUCGUGAGAUGUUGGGUUAAGUCCCGCAACGAGCGCAACCCUUAUUACUAGUUGCCAGCAUUAAGUUGGGCACUCUAGUGAGACUGCCGGUGACAAACCGGAGGAAGGUGGGGACGACGUCAAAUCAUCAUGCCCCUUAUGACCUGGGCUACACACGUGCUACAAUGGAUGGUACAACGAGUUGCGAGACCGCGAGGUUUAGCUAAUCUCUUAAAACCAUUCUCAGUUCGGAUUGUAGGCUGCAACUCGCCUACAUGAAGCCGGAAUCGCUAGUAAUCGCGGAUCAGCAUGCCGCGGUGAAUACGUUCCCGGGCCUUGUACACACCGCCCGU
rnacentral:rRNA from 1 species